rnacentral:rRNA from 1 species
UGGGCCUACGGGACGCAGCAGUGGGGAAUAUUGCACAAUGGGCGAAAGCCUGAUGCAGCAACGCCGCGUGAAGGAAGAAGGGUUUCGGCUCGUAAACUUCUAUUAACAGGGACGAAAGAAAUGACGGUACCUGAAUAAGAAGCCCCGGCUAACUACGUGCCAGCAGCCGCGGCAAUACGUAGGGGGCAAGCGUUAUCCGGAAUUACUGGGUGUAAAGGGUGAGUAGGCGGCAUGGUAAGCCAGAUGUGAAAGCCUUGGGCUUAACCCGCGGAUUGCAUUUGGAACUAUCAAGCUAGAGUACAGGG